GAAAGAGAAGGCAUUCUAUUUUUAGGAGUUAAUUAAUGAUUUCGUAGUAAAUGAUUGAAUAAUAUUUCCCGACCUUCUUUUUAAUACAUUAAAAAACUUUUUAAUACAUUAAUAAAUUUUUCGUUUUAAAAAUAAGAAUAUCUCAGAAAAAACACAAAGAAAAUAAAUUAAAUAAUUGAAAUUCAAUUUUUUGUUUUUCAAUUUCUAAAAUCUAAAAAAUCCCAGUUUUCGGAUAAUUUAAACUAAUUAAAAACAAAUUAAUUAGAGGGGCGGA
rnacentral:tRNA from 1 species